AAGACCUUGCGCUUUUGGAGCGGCCGAUGUCUGAUUAGCUUGUUGGUGAGGUAAAGGCUUACCAAGGCUUCGAUCAGUAGCUGGUCUGAGAGGACGGCCAGCCACACUGGGACUGAGACACGGCCCAGACUCCUACGGGAGGCAGCAGUGGGGAAUUUUGGACAAUGGGGGCAACCCUGAUCCAGCCAUGCCGCGUGAGUGAAGAAGGCCUUCGGGUUGUAAAGCUCUUUCAGCCGGAACGAAACGGUUACGGUUAAUACCCGUGACUACUGACGGUACCGGAAGAAGAAGCACCGGCUAACUACGUGCCAGCAGCCGCGGUAAUACGUAGGGUGCGAGCGUUAAUCGGAAUUACUGGGCGUAAAGCGUGCGCAGGCGGCUCUUCAAGUCAGAUGUGAAAGCCCCGGGCUUAACCUGGGAACU
rnacentral:rRNA from 1 species